GGCACAGUGGCUUAGUGGUUAGCACUGGUGCCUCGCACCUGUAGGUUUGAAGGUUCGAAUCCUGCCUCUGCCC